rnacentral:rRNA from 1 species
AGAGUUUGAUCCUGGCUCAGAUUGAACGCUGGCGGCAUGCUUUACACAUGCAAGUCGAACGGCAGCACGGGGCAACCUGGUGGCGAGUGGCGAACGGGUGAGUAAUACAUCGGAACGUGCCCAAUCGUGGGGGAUAACGUAGCGAAAGUUACGCUAAUACCGCAUACGAUCUACGGAUGAAAGCGGGGGAUCGCAAGACCUCGCGCGAAUGGAGCGGCCGAUGUCAGAUUAGGUAGUUGGUGGGGUAAAAGCUCACCAAGCCAACGAUCUGUAGCUGGUCUGAGAGGACGACCAGCCACACUGGAACUGAGACACGGUCCAGACUCCUACGGGAGGCAGCAGUGGGGAAUUUUGGACAAUGGGCGCAAGCCUGAUCCAGCCAUUCCGCGUGCAGGAUGAAGGCCUUCGGGUUGUAAACUGCUUUUGUACGGAACGAAACGGUCUGCCCUAAUACGGUGGGCUAAUGACGGUACCGUAAGAAUAAGCACCGGCUAACUACGUG